CAGUAGCCGCGGGAAUACAGAGGGUGCGAGCGUUAAUCUGAUUUACUGGGCGUAAAGCGUGCGUAGGCGGCUUCUUAAGUCGGAUGUGAAAUCCCUGAGCUUAACUUAGGAAUUGCAUUCGAUACUGGGAAGCUAGAGUAUGGGAGAGGAUGGUAGAAUUCCAGGUGUAGCGGUGAAAUGCGUAGAGAUCUGGAGGAAUACCGAUGGCGAAGGCAGCCAUCUGGCCUAAUACUGACGCUGAGGUACGAAAGCAUGGGGAGCAAACAGGAUUAGAUACCCGCGUAGUCCCUGUCUCUUAUAA
rnacentral:rRNA from 1 species